rnacentral:rRNA from 1 species
UACAGAGGUCUCAAGCGUUGUUCGGAUUCAUUGGGCGUAAAAGGCUUGUAGGCGGCCACGCUGCGUCGGCUGUGAAAGCUCCCGGCUUAACUGGGAGAGGGCAGGCGAUACGGGCGGGCUCGAGGCCAGUAGGGGGACGCGGAAUUCCCGGUGUAGUGGUGGAAUGCGUAGAUAUCGGGAGGAACACCAGUGGCGAAGGCGGCGUCCUGGACUGGUACUGACGCUGAGGAGCGAAAGCGUGGGGAGCGAUCCGG